rnacentral:rRNA from 1 species
UUGCUUGGUGGUGAGAGUGGCGAACGGGUGAGUAAUGCGUGACCGACCUGCCCCAUACACCGGAAUAGCUCCUGGAAACGGGUGGUAAUGCCGGAUGCUCCAGUUGAUCGCAUGGUCUUCUGGGAAAGCUUUCGCGGUAUGGGAUGGGGUCGCGUCCUAUCAGCUUGACGGCGGGGUAACGGCCCACCGUGGCUUCGACGGGUAGCCGGCCUGAGAGGGCGACCGGCCACAUUGGGACUGAGAUACGGCCCAGACUCCUACGGGAGGCAGCAGUGGGGAAUAUUGCACAAUGGGCGCAAGCCUGAUGCAGCGACGCCGCGUGAGGGAUGGAGGCCUUCGGGUUGUAAACCUCUUUUAUCGGGGAGCAAGCGAGAGUGAGUUUACCCGUUGAAUAAGCACCGGCUAACUACGUGCCAGCAGCCGCGGUAAUACGUAGGGUGCAAGCGUUAUCCGGAAUUAUUGGGCGUAAAGGGCUCGUAGGCGGUUCGUCGCGUCCGGUGUGAAAGUCCAUCGCUUAACGGUGGAUCCGCGCCGGGUACGGGCGGGCUUGAGUGCGGUAGGGGAGACUGGAAUUCCCGGUGUAACGGUGGAAUGUGUAGAUAUCGGGAAGAACACCAA